CAUUAUUGUGUAAUGUAGAAAUUAUAGAAAUAAAUGCAAAUUUCUUUGAAACUUGUUAAUGUCCACAUUAAAAUUAUACUCAAUGUGUAGUUUUUCUUUCACCUUAAACAUGUUAAAAGCUUAAACAUUUUUUUUAAAUCAGAAAAACUGUUAUUUAUAACUUUAGAUAAAGAGUACAGUGUUCCCCCCAGAAAUUUCAAAUUGCACCAUGAAAAUUAACAAAGUACUAGUUUUCCAAAUAAUCUAGCACCAUAUGCAUGGUCCCUAUACAUUCUAUUCAAAAAUCAUACAAGAUAGCACCAUGGUGGAAAAUAUAGUACCAGGGUACCAGAGUGAUGUAAGGCACUGGGAGAUCACUGUUUAAAGAGUUUAAGUUUAUUAAUUCAUGUUUACUUUAAAUUCAUCAGAAAUUACAUGCUAUUAGGAUUUGUUUCAUCGAAUACAUUAUGACUUCAUUGUAAAUGUACGAGGCAAUCCAAAUUCAUUAAAGGGGGCUGAGGAGUCCUGUUCCAGUUAUGCUUCAGUGAUUCCCUAAAAAUCAACCAAGUGUUUCCCAAAGAGAAGGGAUGGUUAG
rnacentral:lncRNA from 1 species